rnacentral:ncRNA from 2 species
AUAAACCUUCGGGGCAGGGUGAUAACGACGAAAUCGUUUAUUCCCGACCGGUGGUAAAGCCCACGAGCCAUUAAAAUUGGCACGAUCCGGUGGAAUUCCGGAGCCGACGGUACAGUCCGGAUGAAAGAAGGUCGAG